UACGUAGGGUGCAAGCGUUAAUCGGAAUUACUGGGCGUAAAGCGUGCGCAGGCGGUUUUGUAAGCCAGAUGUGAAAGCCCCGGGCUUAACCUGGGAAUGGCAUUUGGGACUGCAAGGCUUGAGUGCGGCAGAGGAGACUGGAAUUCCUGGUGUAGCAGUGAAAUGCGUAGAUAUCGGGAAGAACACCCGUGGCUAAGGCGGCUCUCUAGUACGGUACUGACGCUGAGACGCGAAAGCGUGGGGAGCGAACAGG
rnacentral:rRNA from 1 species